GACGAACGCUGGCGGCGUGCCUAACACAUGCAAGUCGAGCGAAUGAAGUUCCUUCGGGAAUGGAUUUAGCGGCGGACGGGUGAGUAACACGUGGGCAACCUGCCUCAUAGAGGGGAAUAGCCUUCCGAAAGGGAGAUUAAUACCGCAUAAGAUUGUAGUACCGCAUGAUACAGCAAUUAAAGGAGCAAUCCGCGAUGAGAUGGGCCCGCGGCGCAUUAGCUAGUUGGUGAGGUAACGGCUCACCAAGGCGACGAUGCGUAGCCGAACUGAGAGGGUGAUCGGCCACAUUGGGACUGAGACACGGCCCAGACUCCUACGGGAGGCAGCAGUGGGGAAUAUUGCACAAUGGGGGAAACCCUGAUGCAGCAACGCCGCGUGAGUGAUGACGGCCUUCGGGUUGUAAAGCUCUGUCUUCGGGGACGAUAAUGACGGUACCUGAGGAGGAAGCCACGGCUAACUACGUGCCAGCAGCCGCCGCGG
rnacentral:rRNA from 1 species